rnacentral:lncRNA from 1 species
GUUGAUGUUGCCUGAGGGUAGUGAGGCCCUACAGAGGGAUCUGGACAGGCUGGAUAGCUGGGCUGAAGCCAAUGGGAUGGGAUUCAACAAGACCAAAUGCCGGGUCCUGCACUUUGGCCACAAUAACCCCAGGGAACGCUACAGGCUUGGGGCAGAGUGGCUGGAAGACUGUGUAGAGGAAAUGGAGCUGGGGGUGUUGAUUGACGCUAGACUGAACAUGAGCCAGCAGUGUGCCCAGGUGGCCAAGAAGGCCAAUGGCAUCCUGGCUUGUAUCAGAAAUAGUGUGGCCAGCAGGAACAGGGAAGUAAUUGUCCCCCUGUACUCAGCACUGGUGAGGUUGCACCUCAAGUACCGUGUUCCAUUUUGAAC